AUCUAAUUAGUUUAAGAAAAAUUUAAAUUUGUGGAAUUUAGGAUAAUUAUAGUAUUAUUAGAUA
rnacentral:tRNA from 1 species